AAUAUGAAUUUAAAGCUCGGUUAAAUUCUAGAAUGGAAUAUGAGUUUAAAGCUCGGUUAAAUUCUAGAAUGGAAUAUGAGUUUAAAGCUCGGUUAAAUUCUAGAAUGGAAAAUUUGUUUAAAGCUCGGUUAAAUUCUAGAAUGGAAUAUGAGUUUAAAGGUUAAAUUCUAGAAUGGAAUAUGAGUUUAAAGGUUAAAUUCUAGAAUGGAAUAUGAGUUUAAAGCUAUGUUAAAUUCUAGAAUGGAAUAUGAGUUUAAAGCUCGGUUAAAUUCUAGAAUGGAAUAUGAGUUU